UUCCUACGGGAGGCAGCAGUGGGGGAUAUUGCACAAUGGGGGAAACCCUGAUGCAGCGACGCCGCGUGUGGGAAGACGGUCUUCUGGAUUGUAAACCACUGUCCCCAGGGACGAAAAUGACGGUACCUGGGGAGGAAGCUCCGGCUAACUACGUGCCAGCAGCCGCGGUAAUACGUAGGGAGCAAGCGUUGUCCGGAAUUACUGGGUGUAAAGGGAGCGUAGACGGAGGAGCAAGUCUGAUGUGAAAAUCCGGGGCCCAACCCCGGAACUGCAUUGGAAACUGUUUAUCUAGAGUGUCGGAGAGG
rnacentral:rRNA from 1 species